GUGUUGAAGGGCUUAGGCUCUCCUGCUGGACUGCCUGGAUUUGAAUCCUGUCUCUGCUCCUUCUUUUCUAAGCUAUGGAGAAACUGAGUCUCAGAGUGGAAUAACUUGCCCAGGAUCAAGCAGCCAGCCAGAGCCGGAGCUGGGAUUAGAACCCAGGUCUGCCUGACUCCAGUGCCCGGGGCCUUACCCUGCCCUUGCUCUCUGGUUUCUGGUUGCAACUGGAGGAAAGAAAACACAUGUCAAGUCUCCUAACAGAAGAACAAAUCACUGAGCAGAAAUCGGCCAGCGGGCAGAUGUCCUGGGGUUCGUAGGAUGAAGAGGCAACUCGAGAAUCUGCUGGGCAUUGGUCCCAGCAGGUUCACAGGAGCAGCCGAGAGAUGGUUCAGUAAUGCUUAUGAAGGGAAAAGAAGAUUCUGAGAAGUGACCAACAUUAGGUGUGAACAACGAGCAGCAUGCAGGCCCCCGAAGAAGCUGGAAAGCACAGAGGCCACGUCAGCCACGAUCACCGGAGGCCAGAGUAGAGCUGCUCACAGGUCAUCCACACACAUGCAUCCCUGGGCCUGGAAAGAGCUCACUCAGCUCAGACAAGCCCACUGGAUUCCCAGGCUGCCUCCUGAGUGAGUGAGUCUCCACCAAGCCCAAGUAGCGUAAACAAGUCAUAAUGAGCGCAAAGCAUCGGCCCCAGGGGCUCCUGGGGACUCCCGCCCAGCUCCCGCCACAAGCGUCAGGCUCACAGGCCUGGGCACAGGUCUCUGCUCUUCAGCUGCGUGUCACCAGCCUCCGUGGUCAUUCAGUUUGGCUCAUCAGCCCCACCUCCCACAGUCUGGAGCCUCAGGUGCCAGGCCGUGCAGCUCGUUUUGCAAGAAUAAUAAUAAAAGUAGCUGU